AUCAUGCAUGCUUUAUGUGGCGUUUUAUCUGUCACAACCACACUUACUUCUCACUGUUAAUAAGAAAUUGCACUAAUUCAGAUAAUUAAGACCACAGAACACUGCAUUUGAUUAAUUAACGUGCAUUUUUCUGAACACAUCAAACUGAAAGUAAAACCUAGUGACACGUGUAGUCAUGUCACUUGUGUGUGGUGGUCUGCGGUGCUGGUGAUGCAACACUUCAGAGGGCUGAGGGUGUUUAGUGCUGUGUGUGUCUCUGUCUGCACCUGCAGCAAACAAACACACUCCCGCCUCUCUGUCUGUCUCUCUCCACUCAUGAGGUUUGGACUAUUAACACCAUGCAGCGCAAUCUAGCACUUCUGCGGGGCUGAUCGCUCCACAUGACACAUAUGAUGCCGCUAGCACAGGUCAUGUGGAAAGAGCCUUCGACGCGAACAUGGGCAUCCAAGAUGUGGAACACAAACGGAGAUUUUUAACACAAACCAUUGCAGUCUGUCAGUCUUAUAAUGUAAGUGGAUGGGAAUCACGGCUAAAACAUACAAUAAAACUAAAAAAAAACAAAAAACAAACAAAACCAAAUUAAACCCUGCGUCUUGUGACGAUACAUUGAUGUGUAAAGACACAAAACAAUCGGCUUGUGCAAGAAACUGAACAGUAUUUAUAUCGUUUAUUCACGCGAUGUCCGAACUGUUAGAACUCUUGUGAACGCGCUUCACAGCAGCCUGCAUCAUCUUCUGUAAAAUCCGAACUGCUCGAACUCUUGUGAACGCGCUUCACAGCUUGCUUUAUGGCUGAUGGACCAUUGACACUCCUGACUGAGAUUGUAGAUAGUGUUAAUGCUCCAUUUGGGGCAAGCAGAUAAACAUCAAAUUUUCAUUUUUCUGGUGAACUAUCCCUUUAAGUUGCUGCUGAAAUGGCCAUUUUUCUGUAGUAUGGAGUAGAUACAAACUCAAGACCUAGCACUGGUUUUCAUUUGCUUUUUAACAAAAUAAACAAAGUAACCUAUGUUUUAGAAAUAGCA
ensembl:lncRNA